rnacentral:rRNA from 1 species
GCCCGUCGCUCCUACCGAUUGGAUGACUCGGUGAAAUCACCGGAUGCUUACGAGCAGAAAGUGAUUAAAUCACGUUAUCUAGAGGAAGGAGAAGUCGUAACAAGGUAACGGUAGGUGAACCUGCCGUUGGAUCAGUUCUAGUUUUAAUAACUAACACCAACUUCUUUUAUAAACAAAAACCAAUACAAAAUUAAAAACUAACUUCAUCAAAAACCAAGUCUCUAAGCAAUGGAUGUCUUGCUCCUCACACGAUGAAGAACGUGGCAUAAUGUGUUAAGU